rnacentral:misc_RNA from 1 species
UUGAUUUGAUUCAAAAUAUUACUCCGACGCGAAGAUGCAGUGUUAAGUGGUCCACCGGGGGCCCCAAGACGCCCGAAGGCCGGGUCGCCCCCGAGGCAACAGGGUCAGAUAACAUGGGGUUGGAGGUCGGGCCUGGGGCCCUCGCUCGGUAAUGAUCCCUCCGCAGGUUCACCUACGGAGA